GCGAAGAAGGACGUGGCUACCGGCGAAACGUUUCGGGGAGUUGGAAGUAAGCUUUGAUCCGAAAGUGUCCGAAUGAGGAAACUCUUUUACUUUUUACUUGAAAGUAAAGAAGAACGAACCUAGGGAAUUGAAACAUCUUAGUACCUAGAGGAACAGAAAGUAAAAACGAUUCCCGGAGUAGUGGCGAACGAAAUGGGAACAGCCUAAACUUUUUUCUCUGACUACCCUGAAAGAGGGUAGGAGGCUGCAAGCCGAAAAGAUAUAGAAAAAGGGGUUGAAAGGUCGAGAGUGAAGAGUUCUCGAUUGGGGAGAAAAAACUAAGUCAGUGAGGCCUUUAGCAAGCCGAAAGUCCUAAUUCUCAAAAUUAGAUUUAUUUCUAAGACAUUAGGUAUUGCUAGUAGAAACUAGUUGCCUAGAAACAGAGAUUUUUUUUGAUGAAAGAAACUUUCAUAGAAUCAAAUUAUCAAAAAAGAAUGUGCUAGUGAGAAAUCGCUUGUAUAGGUAAUAUGAAAAGAGGUGAAAUGAAUUGGAAAAUUCUACCAAAGAAAGUGAUAGUCUUGUAACCAAAAUUCAUUCAUGAAGGUACGUAACGUUUUUUCCCGAGUAGCAUGGGGCACGUGGAAUCCCGUGUGAAUCUGCGAGGACCACCUCGUAAGGCUAAAUAUUCCUGGAUGUCCGAUAGUGUAGAGUACCGCGAGGGAAAGGUGAAAAGAACCCCGGGAGGGGAGUGAAAUAGAACGUGAAAUUGCAAGCUUACAAACAGAAGGAGAACGACUUAGCGUUUGACUUCGUGCCUGUUGAAGAAUGUUCCGGCGACUUAUUGUUAGUGGCAGGUUAAACUCGAGAGAGUGGAGCCAGAGUGAAAGCGAGCUUGAAUAGAGCGAUCGUCCCUAGUGAUAGACCCGAACCCGGUUGAUCUAACCAUGACCAGAAUGAAACUUAGGUAAAACUAAUUGGAGGUUCGAACCGACUGAUGUUGAAAAAUCAGCGGAUGAGUUGUGGUUAGGGGUGAAAUGCCAAUCGAAACCGGAGCUAGCUGGUUCUCCCCGAAAUGUAUUGAGGUGCAGCGGUUACUAUUAAAAUGUAGGGGUAAAGCACUGUUUCGGUGCGGGCUGGUAAUUCGGUACCAAAUCGAGGCAAACUCUGAAUACUACAUGUAUGGUUAGCCAGUAAGACUAUGGGGGAUAAGCUUCAUAGUCAAGAGGGAAACAGCCCAGAUCACCAGCUAAGGCCCCCAAAUAUUUGCUAAGUGAUAAAGGAAGUGGAAAGGCUUAGACAACCAGGAGGUUUGCUUAGAAGCAGCAAUCCUUUAAAAAGUGCGUAAUAGCUUACUGGUCUAGCAAUUCUGCGCCGAAAACUUACGGGACUCAAGCAAAUUGCCGAAGCUGUGAGAUAAUUUUGAUUCCGAAAAUGGAUCGAUUAUCGGUAGGGGAGCGUUCUGCGGUAGAGUGAAGUAUUAGCGAAAGCGGGUAUGGACGAAGCAGAAGUGAGAAUGUCGGAUUGAGUAGCGAAAACAUUGGUGAGAAUCCAAUGCUCCGAAAACCUAAGGUUUCCUCCGGAAGGCUCGUCCGCGGAGGGUGAGUCAGGUCCUAAGGUGAGGCUGAAAAGCGUAGUCGAUGGACAAUGGGUAAACAUUCCCAUACUAAUUUGGACUGGUAUCGAGGGACGAAGCAGGCUAAACUAGCCAGAGAUUGGUUACUGGUUGAAGUUAUCGAGGUGAAGAAGAUUAGUGAAAAUAAUCGGAGCGAAGAAACGAAUACAUGAUUGAAAAAUCUAAGUAGUUGAUGUCAUACUUCCAAGAAAAGCUCGCUAGGCCAUAAGUCCAAAUUACCUGUACCUGAAACCGACACAGGUAGGUAGGUAGAGAAUACCAAGGAGCGCGGGAGAACCCUCCUUAAGGAACUCGGCAAAAUAACUCUGUAACUUCGGAAGAAAGAGUGCCUAUUAGGCUGCAAUAUCAAGUUCCAAGCAACUGUUUAGCAAAAACACAGGUCUCCGCUAAGUGGUAACACGACGUAUGGGGGCUGACGCCUGCCCAGUGCUGGAAGGUUAAAGAAGUCGGUUAGCGCAAGCAAAGCUGGUAACUGAAGCCCCAGUGAACGGCGGCCGUAACUAUAACGGUCCUAAGGUAGCGAAAUUCCUUGUCAGGUAAGUUCUGACCCGCACGAAUGGCGUAAUGAUUUGGAAGCUGUCUCAGGGAGGGACUCGGCGAAAUAGAACUGGCUGUGAAGAUGCGGCCUACCUGCGCCUGGACAGUAAGACCCUAUGAAGCUUUACUGUAUCCUGAUAUUGGAUUUCGAUUGGAUCUGCGCAGAAUAGGUGGGAGACGGGGAACCCUAUCUUUUGGGAUAGGGGGAGUCAUUCGUGAGAUACCACUCUGAUCCAAUUAAAAUUCUAACUUCUUAUCGUUAGCCGAUGGAAAGACAGUUUCAGGUGGGCAGUUUGACUGGGGCGGUCGCCUACUAAAAGGUAACGUAGGCGUACAAAGGUUUCCUCCGAUCGGUCAGAAAUCGAUCUUCGAGUGUAAAGGCAAAAGGAAGCUUAACUGUGAGACCCACAAGUCGAACAGAGACGAAAGUCGGUCUUAGUGAUCUGACGCUGCUGUGUGGAAAGGGCGUCACUCAACGGAUAAAAGUUACUCUAGGGAUAACAGGCUGAUCUCCCCCAAGAGUUCCUAUCGACGGGGAGGUUUGGCACCUCGAUGUCGGCUCAUCGCAUCCUGGAGCGGUAGUACGUUCCAAGGGUUGGGCUGUUCGCCCAUUAAAGCGGUACGUGAGCUGGGUUCAGAACGUCGCGAGACAGUUCGGUCCAUAUCCGGCGUGGGCGUUGGAGUAUUGAGAGUGACCUUUCUCUAGUACGAGAGGACCGAGAAAGAUAUACCUCUAGUGUACCAGUUAUCGUGCCAUCGGUACACGCUGGGUAGCUAUGUAUAGUUAGGAUAACCGCUGAAAGCAUCU
rnacentral:rRNA from 1 species